AGCGUUUCGCCCCAUGCCUGGUGUGGGGCGACACUGGACACCCAUCGAGAGGAAAGCACCUCCGAGAUUCCUAGAGAGGCCGGCUUGGAGACUUGGGGAGCCGGAAGCCCAUCCCGAGACACUUCCUGUCCGGUCAUUGUUCUCGUACCGAUGGGAGCUGAGGUCCAGGUCAGCCGUCCUCAUGCUGCAGAGCCAGUGAACUCAGGUCGGGCUUCUCAGCUGCGAACAUAGGCAGUACUCAUCUUGGCCCUGGGAAGAAACUCAAGAAGAAGCUUUUGAAACAUAAAGCUUAGAUGGGGUUUGACCUCUGCUGGGCAGCUCCCAGCUGUAUGAGUUCCCCUGCUGAGCAGAGAAGAUGACUGCAGAAUUGAGAGAAGCUGUGGCCCUAGCUCCAUGGGGCCCAGUGAAGGUGAAAAAGGAGGAGGAGGAAGAAGAAAACUUCCCAGGUCAGGCAUCCAGCCAACAAGUGCACUCUGAGAACAUCAAAGUCUGGACCCCAGCGGAGGGUCUUCAGACAGGCCUUGAUGGAUCAGAAGAGGAAGAAAAGGGUCAGAACAUAUUCUGGGACAUGGCGGUAGUCCUGAAAGCAACUCAAGAGGCACCUGCUGCUUCACCCCUUGGCAGUUACUCGUUACCAGGGACUCUGGCCAAGAGUGAGAUACUGGAGACUCAUGGGACCAUGAACUUUCUAGGUGCUGAAACCAAGAACCUACAGUUACUGGUUCCAAAAUCUGAGAUAUGUGAGGAAGCUGAAAAACCCCUCAUCAUAUCAGAAAGAAUCCAGAAAGCUGAUCCUCAAGGACCUGAGUUAGGAGAAGCUUGUGAAAAAGGAAACAUGUUAAAGAGGCAGAGAAUAAAGAGGGAAAAGAAAGAUUUCAGACAAGUGAUAGUGAAUGACCGUCAGUUAUCUGAAAGCUUCAAAGAAGAAGAAAACCAGAAAUGUAAGAAAUCUGGGGGAAAAUACAGCCUUAAUUCUGGCGCUGUUAAAAAUCCAAAAACCCAGCUUGGGCAAAAGCCUUUUACAUGUAGCGUGUGUGGGAAAGGAUUUAGUCAGAGUGCAAACCUCGUUGUGCAUCAGCGAAUCCACACUGGAGAGAAACCCUUUGAAUGUCAUGAGUGUGGGAAGGCCUUCAUUCAAAGUGCAAACCUCGUUGUGCAUCAGAGAAUCCACACUGGACAGAAACCUUAUGUUUGCUCAAAAUGUGGGAAAGCCUUCACUCAGAGUUCAAAUCUGACUGUACAUCAAAAAAUCCACUCCUUAGAAAAAACUUUUAAGUGCAGUGAAUGUGAGAAAGCCUUUAGUUACAGCUCACAACUUGCUCGGCACCAGAAAGUCCACAUUACAGAAAAAUGCUAUGAAUGUAAUGAAUGUGGGAAAACAUUUACUAGGAGCUCGAACCUCAUUGUCCACCAGAGGAUCCACACUGGGGAGAAGCCCUUUGCUUGUAACGAUUGUGGCAAAGCCUUUACCCAGAGUGCAAAUCUCAUUGUACAUCAGCGAAGCCAUACUGGUGAGAAGCCAUAUGAGUGUAAAGAGUGUGGGAAAGCCUUUAGUUGUUUUUCACACCUUAUUGUGCACCAGAGAAUUCACACUGCAGAGAAACCUUACGACUGCAGCGAAUGUGGGAAAGCCUUCAGUCAGCUCUCUUGCCUUAUUGUCCACCAGAGAAUUCACAGUGGAGAUCUUCCUUACGUAUGUAAUGAAUGUGGGAAGGCCUUCACAUGUAGCUCAUACCUACUUAUUCAUCAGAGAAUUCAUAAUGGAGAAAAACCUUACACAUGUAAUGAGUGUGGGAAGGCCUUCAGACAGAGGUCGAGCCUCACCGUGCACCAGAGAACCCACACUGGGGAGAAGCCCUAUGAAUGUGAGAAGUGUGGUGCAGCUUUCAUUUCCAACUCACACCUCAUGCGACACCACAGAACCCAUCUUGUUGAAUAACAAGUAAGGAAGAGGAAGACCUCCAGCAUUGGUCAUAACCUUCUGCCUCCCUAAUGAGACACCUCUUUGCUGUUUUCUUCCUCCUCUAUAAAAGUGAGGGCUAUGUCCUUAAAAGUUAGAGUUUUCAGGAAUGCAGCACAAAACACAAGAAAAGCAUUUCAGAGGCUAAUUUAAAGAAAACAAAAAGUAAGCAUCUAAAGGCAAGGACUUUGUUUUAACUGUACCUUAAGCGGUCAUGUUUUCUGAAGUGGAAUGUGGCUUUCUUAGGAAUGGGUCAUACAAAGCUAAGUGGUAAUGAUGUUAUUUGGGGAAAGGUCUUUUUUGCUUAAUUUUGUUUUUUAAAACUCUGAUGAUUGCUUGAGCAACAGGCAUGUUAUCUGCCUGGUUGAAUUCUGGUUGAACUGUGUAUUCUAAUAUUUCUGGUUAAGUGGUGACUAGGUAAGGAAACCACUUGGGGUAUCAGUUCAACAAUUCACUUAUGAAUGUUUAUAAGCUUUCCAUUUCCUAGGUAAUUUUUAGAAAGUCAGUCAAAACAAAAAAACUUUACUGAAAAUGGACAGAAAUAGGAAAUGGACUUUUUCCUUACUGUCUAUACCUCUUGAACCUUGGUAUUGUAAAGAUCUGGGGACCUCUGAGUCUAUUCUGACCAUUCCCUAGUCUGCAUGGCCAAGCACUCAAGGAUUGAUGGACACCACACACCAGCUAUAUUCAUUUGCCAAGAUCAACAGCUCCUUCUCCAAACAACUCAAGCCCCCAAUUCCCAUCACAUUCCAUUUGGGUGAGAUGCAACUAACAGCCCCUUCCUGGAUAAAGGAGUCAAAGAAUAAAGCUUGCCUAGAGGCAUGCCCCAGUUGUCUCUGCUGUCAUUCUGCUCAAGUCCAGGCAGGGGUCUCAGUUUGGGUUUCAUUCUGACAUUCUGGAUGGUGUUCAGAAGAAAUGGUGGAGCUCUUCUCAUUCUGAGAGGACCUAAGAGGGCAAGUGAAGUGAGAGGGAAGGUGGAAGUAAGAUUCCUAAGGUCUUAAUUUGAUUUUUUGAGAAAUUCAGAGGUGUUGGAAUAUGAAAACUUUUAGAGGGAUGAAGAAACUGGCUAAGAGCCCAAGAUAGAUGGUGGGAUUCUGACCCAGCCAUUAGAAGGGGGCCAGAGGAGAAAGAAUAGAUGUGAUGUUUUGAAGACAAAAUGAGCAGACUUCAAGGGACAUGGAAGAUCAAGCAGCAAAUUCCCAAGCCAGAAGUCUGGGCCUCUACAUCCUGGUGAGACCUACGAUAUGACAAACGAGGCCAGGCCCAGGUCCGAGAGGCACUGCUUUCCUUGCAGCUCUCUGGAACUACCCUGUCUUCACAGUGGCUAAUGCCUCUCUGAUGUUGGGAAGGGCUGGAGACAGAGCCAAGGGAGGAGACAACCCAACUCCUAGCAGGCUACCUGGCUCUUGUAGGCUACCUUGACACCAACUAGUUUCCCCACUUGUACCAUGUGUGGUUUUCCAGAAUUCCUGUGAUCUCUGGUAUUUUCCCUCCAAGGAGUGGGGUUCCCUCAAGGCAAGUCCCACUACUGAACCAAUAGCAAGCUUGUAAUCAUCACUACUGUUAGUUGAGGGGUUCCUGUGUGCCAGGCACCAUACUAAAUGCCAAGUGUGUUUUAUCUCAUUUAAUCCUCACAUGAGGAGGGAUGUUCUCUUACGCCAUUUGCAAAACCAGUAGUCCCGGUCAGGAUUAGAACAACUCUGAUGUACAAGUCUGUGCCCCUUUCUCCCAGGUGAACUUCUCAGUGCACCCCUAAGGGCUCCUCUCCACAUGUAAGAGUUCUUUGUUAAAUUGAAAGAGCAGUGCUUGCCUGUAGUAAAAAGAUCAAUGGUGCAAAAGCAUACAAAGAGAUGUGAGACUCCCUCCCAGUCCACACAACCAGUCUCCUACCCCAGUGGUAGCUAUUGUUAAAUUUCUUGAGGAUCCUUCCUCAAGAUAGUCCCAGCAUUUACAACCUUAUGUAUCGCCCUUAAAGAAACACGAAAAAACAAAUGAAAGCUUAAGAUACACAGUCUACACCUUGCUUUUUUCAGUGUCUUGGAGAUGGCUUUAUAUUUGCCUGUAAGAUAUACCUCAUUCUUUUUUUCACUGCUUUGUGAUACUCCAUUGUAUGAAUGUACCAUAAUUCAUACAGUCCCCCUGUUGGUGGGCCUCUAGGUUCUUUUCUGCCUUUUGCUAUUACAAACAGUACUGUGCCGAAUAUCCCCGCACACUGUCCUUGGAUAAACUGAUGAAAUUAAAUGGUAGGUGCAUUUGAUAUUUUGAUAGAAAUUGGAAAUGUAGUUCCCAGUGUGUGUGAAAGUGCCCAUUCCCCUGAAUCCUCUGAAACUAUUGUGUUGUUUCUGAUCUCAUAAAUGAAAACUGCUCUCAUAUUUUAGUUUGCAUUCAACUAUGAGUGAAACUGGGUACCAUAUCCCAUGUUUAAAAGCCAUGUGUAUUUAUUUUCUGUGACUUGCUUACUCGCGUUCUUUAUCAGUUUUUCUGUUCAUCCUUUUAAUAAUCGAUGUGUACAAACUAUAAAGAAAUUACCCUUAUCUGCUA